UAGAAGACAUCUGAAAGGGAUUAAAGAUUUAUCGGUGAUGGAUGGGGAUGCGUCUGAUUAGCUUGUUGGCGGGGUAACGGCCACCCAAGGCCACGAUCAGUAGGGGUUCUGAGAGGAAGGUCCCCCACAUUGGAACUGAGACACGGUCCAAACUCCUACGGGAGGCAGCAGUGAGGAAUAUUGGUCAAUGGGCGAGAGCCUGAACCAGCCAAGUAGCGUGCAGGAUGACGGCCCUAUGGGUUGUAAACUGCUUUUAUAAGGGAAUAAAGUGAGCCUCGUGAGGCUUUUUGCAUGUACCUUAUGAAUAAGGACCGGCUAAUUCCGUGCCAGCAGCCGCGGUAAUACGGAAGGUCCGGGCGUUAUCCGGAUUUAUUGGGUUUAAAGGGAGCGUAGGCCGGAGAUUAAGCGUGUUGUGAAAUGUAGAUGCUCAACAUCUGCACUGCAGCGCGAACUGGUUUCCUUGAGUACGCACAAAGUGGGCGGAAUUCGUGGUGUAGCGGUGAAAUGCUUAGAUAUCACGAAGAACUCCGAUUGCGAAGGCAGCUCACUGGAGCGCAACUGACGCUGAAGCUCGAAAGUGCGGGUAUCGAACAGGAUUAGAUACCCUGGUAGUCCGCACGGUAAACGAUGGAUGCCCGCUGUUGGUCUGAAUAGGUCAGCGGCCAAGCGAAAGCAUUAAGCAUCCCACCUGGGGAGUAC
rnacentral:rRNA from 1 species